UUGCACCGCUGAACUCACUGGAAAUCAAGGCCAAGGGAGAUGUCAUGGCUAUGGGCUGAAGCUUUGAGAAAAAGAGAAUGAAAAAUGAAAUUUGCUUUGAUUGAAGGAUAGAGGGAAGUGAUUAUUGAUAAUUAUAGGGCUUGAAGAAUCCUCGAGAGAGUGACAAUGCUUGUUGAAUUUUUAUGAAAAUGCAACAUUGAAAAGGUUGAUGAGUUUCCAAUUUCAAAAGUCUACCUAAAGCUCUAUUGUUUGUUUAACUCAAAGGUAAAAAAAAGUAAAGUAUGUGGACUUGCACCGAAUAGAGCCAUGGAAUUGGUGCAAAGGUUUGAUCAAGAGGCUGCUGCAGUU